rnacentral:rRNA from 1 species
AUGGGCGCAAGCCUGAUGCAGCGACGCCGCGUGAGGGAUGGAGGCCUUCGGGUUGUAAACCUCUUUCGCCAGUGAAGCAGGCCUGUCCCUUUUGUGGGUGGGUUGACGGUAGCUGGAUAAGAAGCGCCGGCUAACUACGUGCCAGCAGCCGCGGUAAUACGUAGGGCGCGAGCGCUGUCCGGAAUUAUUGGGCGUAAAGAGCUCGUAGGCGGCUGGUCGCGUCUGUCGUGAAAUCCUCUGGCUUAACUGGGGGCUUGCGGUGGGUACGGGCCGGCUUGAGUGCGGUAGGGGAGACUGGAACUCCUGGUGUAGCGGUGGAAUGCGCAGAUAUCAGGAAGAACACCGGUGGCGAAGGCGGGUCUCUGGGCCGUUACUGACGCUGAGGAGCGAAAGCGUGGGGAGCGAACAGGAUUAGAUACCCUGGUAGCCCACGCCGUAAACGUUGGGCACUAGGUGUGGGGGGCCUUUUCCGGGUCUUCCGCGCCGUAGCUAACGCAUUAAGUGCCCCGCCUGGGGAGUACGGCCGCAAGGCUAAAACUCAAAGGAAUUGACGGGGGCCCGCACAAGCGGCGGAGCAUGCGGAUUAAUUCGAUGCAACGCGAAGAACCUUACCAAGGCUUGACAUGUGCCGGUCGGCUCCGGAGACGGGGUUUCCUCC